rnacentral:lncRNA from 1 species
AAUUCAGCAUAUAAAAGGAACCCUUCAUACUAAACUUUUCAAUACUUCUAUAGUUUUACAAGUGAAGCUAGACAUAUCAUCUAUAAUGUAUAAAUUUGUAUUUGUGUUGCUUUUGGUCAGUUUGGUGGCAAUAAGUCUUCUGCCAGAACUUACUGAUGCCCAGAGCUGCUCCUGCUAUGACCAAUGUCCAUACGGCUAUAUAAAUAAUGGGAACAGUUACUGCGGCUAUCAGAUCGAAUGCUGUCCACCUUAUUAAAGGCUUUCUGAAGCAGAAAGAAUUCGCAUCCAGAUAAAUAUGAAUACUGAAGACUGUUUAAAACGUUAAAGAUGUCAUUCAGUCUAACGGACUUCAUUAAAUUUUAAUAUUUAAUUAAUUGAUUAUCGGGUUAAUGCUAUUAAAAUGAUGUAAAUAUAA